CUCACAACAGUGCCUGAAGGGGAAUGUUCACUCUUUACUCAGAACAGCAGCAGCCAGAGGUGGAAUACAGCAUGGGAGAGAGAGACGGGAGCUACUGCAGACCCCUAUACUCGCUACCAUCAGCCAGCAGCUGAACUCCAAGCAAGCCCCCGUCCUGGAAAUUGAAGGUAUAUUAACAGGAGGGUGGCUGCAAAAAACAAAAGUGACAUUUAUGUGUUUAUGUCAGAUUGUGUGUGUGUGUGUGUGUGUGUGUGUAUCUAUAUCACCAUGUGUGUCUGAGUGUAUGUGUGUGUAUCACAGAGUGUGUGUUUGAGUGUGUGUGUGUGUGUGUGUCAGUGUGUGUAUAUUUGUGUCUGUGUUUGUAUGUGUCACUAUGUAUAUAUGUUAAUGUGUAUUCCAUUCGAAUGGCAACAGUACAUCCAAAAACACCCUUACAUUAUUAUUAUUAUGUUAUUUAUAUAGCACCAUCAAAUUCCACAGUGCUUUACAAUGGGUGGACAAACAGACAUGUAGUUGUAACCAGACAAGUUAGACACACAGGAACAGAGGGGCUGAGGGCUCUGCUCAAUGAGCUUACAUGCUAGAGGGAGUGGGGUAAAAUGACAUAAAAGGUAAGGAUAGUAUUGGACUAGUGACAGUUGCAGAAGGAAUCUGUACACAUGUACACAUAUACUCACUCUAUACAAAACAAAAUGCUUACUUACAAACGCACAAACACUGCUAACAAAUACAACCCUGCAAGGAUGGCAAAUGGUAGAUACCCAGUUGGUAUAGCAUCAUUGGAGUUGUAUGACAGAUGGGGAUUUACCUUUUGGCCACUUUGCACCAGAGGGGUGCCCAAAAACAUUAUUGCACCAGGGAUCUCUUUGUUCCACUCUUAGUUCCGCAACAGGCAGCAACAGACUAUGGACGUGAGCCCAGGGAAACAGAACUAGCCACAACCCCUAAAAAAAGAAUAAAAGCUAAUGAGAGAUUGGUAGCCAAGCUUGGGCCUGUAGAAUUAAAAAAAAAAGAAGAAGAAAUUCCGCCUAAAUAUUGUGAGAGCUGUGUGUAUGGUUGGGCAUGACAGCAUCCGUUGCACAACCAACCUAAGGCUGACUUUUUCUUUGGUAAACAGAGGGGCUGGGAGGAGGUAUGUGACAAGUGGUGGCCCUGGGGAGGAUGUGACACAUGGAGGGGGAAUGAGACAAAUGGUGGGGCUGGGAUAGUAUUGGACUAGUGACAGGCCCUGGGGACACAUGGAGGCCCUGGGGAGGAUUUGGCAGAUCGUGGGGCUGGGAGGAAUGAGAAACACAAAUGGGCUUAGGGGAAAAAAGAGACACAUAAAGGAAUGAGGAACAAGACAUGGGGUAGGAAGGCAAACAAGAGACACACAGAGAGGCUGGAGAAAAGGAAGAAUGAAGAAUGGAGAAAAGGAAUAAUUAAUCACAUAGAGGGGCUGUUGAGAAAGAGAGUUGCUGGGGCAGAAGAAAGAGACACACACAGGGGCUAUGGAUGGGGAGAAAGAGACACACAAAGGUGCUAGGAGACAGUAAAAGAUGCACAAAGAGGGUUGUAAGACACACACAAGAGGGGUGUAAGACACAUAAAAGGGAAAAAUGGGAGAUAAGAAACACUAACCACGGGUAAGACAAUUAAAAAGAGGGGAUAAGAAACAUGAAAGGGGGAAAGAAAUGUAAAACGGAGGUUAAGAGAAACACAAGGGAAGAUGGUUUUUUUGGGGGGGGGGAGUGAAUGCAGCUUCACCUGUGUCUCCUCCUCUUCCUGUAACUCGGUUUUUCAUCACAGGAGUCUAUGCCAAAGAGUUGAUUGACUGGUGAGAGAAAGACGUCUUAUUAACAGGACACAAUUUAACGUAGUGGUUCUGAUAUCUAUAGCCUGCCCCUGCAAGCUGAGUACUGUAAAUUCUGCCUUAUCAGAGAAAAGGCUGUGUUUACAUUGCUGCCUAGGAACAAAACUAGUGGCAGUCACUCAGCCAGCCACUAAAAGUACAGCAUAGUGUGCAGCACCACUUUGAGCGUCUCCACACUCCCCAUAUAAAUGCAUUCAUUUAUUGCAACUUUCUGUGGAAAAGCAUUGGAUUGGCUGAGAUCAUCAAGCACACUCAUAGGACAUUCACUAUUUCAUUUUAUAUACAUUCACUAUUUCAGUCCCAUUACCAUUUUUUUCUUAAAAGAACACUAUAGGGUCACGAAUAUAAACAUGUAUUACUGACCCAAUAGUGUUAAAAACACUAUAUAGUCCCGGGCUUCCUCUUAACUCCCUUAAAUAGGAUUUUAAAAAUCACCUUUAUUAUAUAAUCAUGCAUGGAGAUGCUGAAAUUUCCCCAUAGAGAUGUACUGAUUUAAUGCAUCUCUAUGUGGAGAUGCUGAUUGACCAGAUCAGUGUUUGGCCCCGCUCCCAAUCUGCCACCUUGGCUGAAAUCAUCAGAAGUGAUGAUUUCAGCCAAUCCAAUGCUUUCCCAUGGCCUGCAUUAAAUUGUCUGUGACAUUCUUAAAAGGCUUAUGAACUGCCAAUAUCUGGACUAUAGCUUCCCAUUUGUAUAUCCCCCAGUGGACAAGUCACUGCUUUCUUCAUCUUUGAAGAUACACAACGUAUUGCUCUCUGCUGCUCAAGAAUAUAUUCCAUCAUCUCCAUAGCGGAGUUCCAGCAUGUAACAACAUCUUGGUAAAGACAAUGCUGUAUCAAACCGGCUUGUCCUUCAUGCUCCCUCUGACAAGUCUUCACACUGUGCUGGAAGUGCAAGCAAGUGCCAGUGCACAUAUCUACUGAUGUGCUCCCAACCCUGUUUUAGCAUAGCUAGAAGGGGUGUCAGCUUGGCUGCUGAUCUAUAACCUAAGCGUGUAGCAGAAAAGAUUUGCAUCCUACUCUGUCACCUGAUGUGUCAGCUGUUGCACAAGCAACAUUUAGCUGCCACCAAUGUUGCUUGUGCAAAUCAUGCUGCAGACUCCAUAUGCCUGUGGUAAAGUGUGCAUUCUGUCCGUCUACCUUACACAACUCCUCCUUUAACAGUGAUACACACAAGUGAUACAGAGAGGGUACUACUUCCCUUUGAAAUGUUGUUCAGGAGGGCAAAUGGUAAUUACGACCCAGAGUUGUAUCACUUGCUCUUCUAGGGCAAAAGAAGCAACCCCCAACAGCUAAAGCAGCAAUAUCUGACAGCUGUUUUGACAUACCCAUUACAUAUAUAGAGCCAAAUUCUUCAAGGGAUGGUGAUUGCCUUUUUUGCCCCACCUCUCUGUUGACUAGCUUGAGCUUCCUCAUCACUUCUGACACUAUCAGAAUGAGUUGCUGCUACUGAACCUUCCUUCUUUUGAACAGCUUUGUGAUCUGUAUUGAGCUGAUUGGUCACACUUGCACUUAUACAAUGGCCCCAAACUGAUUGCCACACAGCCUGUAAUAUGACAAAUGCCCAUCUCAUACACUAUCAAAAUGAUCCCACACUCUUCCCAUGCGCUGUAGUUCUGCUUCUGCAUGACUUGAAAAGAAUGAUCUUUUAGCAUUGCUGCUCAGUUUCUGCUCCAUUCAGGUGCCACUGCUGCUUCUUAUAAUUAUGCUUGUUGUUGUGACACUACCUGCUACUACAAGUGAGUGUGGCACUGGUUACAGGACAGCAUGUACAGUGGGGAUGUAACUAUGACCUCUGUCAAACUAAUAGUACUACUAUUGCCACCCUUUUCUUUUUUGCUUUUCACAAGUAUAAGUUGUCACUGUAGAGUCUUGCUGCUUCUUCUCUUUUUCUUCUGGGUCAUAAUCUAAUUCCUCCUCAUACCUCUACAUCUCUCACACUCAGGGGUGUAUUUACAAUGAGGCAAACAAGGCAGUUUCUGGGGGUUUGCCACCCCUCAAUCACCCUGGCAAAUGCCUUGCCAGCCUCUUGUCCUGGGGGGCCCUCUUCAGGGCCCCCCGGGCUGGCAGCAGCGGCACUUUCCGGGCGGGCGGCGAGGGAGCACUAAUCCUCCUGUUUAGCUCCCUUGCACGUCCCUCAGUGAUGCCGGAGCCGGAAUUAGACGUCAUUCCGGCUCCGGCAUCACUACGCGACGCGCGAGCUGAACAGGAUAAUUAGUGCUCCCUUGCCACAGCAGUGAUAGGUCGGCUGCCCAGCAGCCUAACAGCCCCACUGGACCCCAGGGAAAGGGCUAAUCCACCCCAGCAUUCCCAAAGGUAAGGAGGCUGGGGUGAUUGAAUUUAAAAAAAUGUGAGUGUGUUAAUGUGUAUGUGUGUGUGUGUGUGUGUUUGUUAGUGAGUGUGUGUGUGUGUGUCUGUUAGUGAGUGAGUGUGUCUGUGUCUGUUAGUGAGAGUGUGUGUGUGUGUGUGUGUGUCUGUUUGUGAGUGUGUGUGUCUGUUAGUGAGUGUGUGUGUGUCUGUGAGUGUGUGUAUGUUAGUGUGUGUGUGUGAGUGUUAGUGUGUGUGUGUCUGUUAGUGAGUGUGUGUGUGUCUGUUAGUGAGUGUGUGUGUGUGUGUCUGUUAGUGUGUGUGUCUGUUAGGGAGUGUGUUACUAUGUGUGUCAGUUUGUGCAUGUCUGUUAGUGAAUGUGUGUGUCUGCUAGUGACUGUAUGUGUCUGUUAGUGAGUGUGUAUGUCUGUUAGCUAGUGUAUGUGUGUCUGUCUGUCAGUGAAUGCGUGUGUCUGACACUGAGUAUAUAUAUGUCUGUCAGUGAGUGUGUAUGUGUAUUUAGAAGGCGGGAUGGAGGGAGGUUAGGGGGGGUGGGGAGGGGGUGCCUGAGUUUUGUCAUGCCUAGGGCAACACAAAACCAAGAUACACCACUGCUCACACUGGUACUCGCUGCUGCUGCUGCUGCUGCUACCUUUUUUCCCUUUGACUAUGUGUCGUACUAGUAGUAGAAAUAGUAAUAUUUUGCGGUAUAGGGCUUCUGCUUGCUUUUUGUGUAGUGAUGGUUCUGGCUACACUGCUCCUUGUACUAGUGAGGGUGCUGCUGCUGUUAUUUUCAAUUGGUUCAGUAAACAGUCUACAACUAUGUUUUGCAGGAUCCAACUUAUUCAUUUUCAUCUGUUUACUAAUAGAAUGCAUUGACACUCUUUUCUCCUGUCUUUAAAGUUUACAAUAUAAUAGUGGCAUUCUCUUACAAGCUAAUGGGCCAGAUAUUUAAUUCCAAGGUUGUUGCUGCUGAGUCAGAUAACCCAUAUUGCUACUGCCUGAAGCAGCAGACACUGCAGUUGUGGAUGGCAUAGGCUCUGGCUCAUCAUCAUCUUUUACAACCUUCUUAUUCAUAGAAAUCAUACUUGCCCACUUUCUUGUGGUGCUGAUUGCUUUGUUAAACUUUAUUAACAUUUAAAUGUAGAAAUUGGGAUGGAAAAUGAAAAACAGGCAUUUCUAUUUACAUAUUUUCAAAAUCUAAAAAAGUAAUUGUAAAACGCUUUUGGAAAGGAGGGGAGGUGUGAAUUUUAAAGACAAACAUGUAUUCCUGUAUAUAUAGUGUUAAAACCAUCACCUAGCACUCUCCCCACCCUCGGAUCCCUAAAUAUAGCACAUUGUUUCCAGUCUGCUGCUGGCUCUUCCCCUGAUCUGUCUGCUUGGCUGACAUUAUCAGAAGUGAUAUUCUAAGCCAAUCACAAUGCUUUCACAUAGGAAAGCAUUAGAUUGGCUGAGUUUGUCAAGAUGGCAGAUCAGGGGCAGAGCCAACACAAGCCAAACACAGCCCUGGCCAAUCAGCAUCUCCUUAUAGAGAUAAAUUGAAUCAAUACAUCUCUAUAAGGAAAGUUCAGCGUCUCCAUGGAGGGGGUGGAGACACUAACUGUAAGUGCUGCACACUGUGCAGCGCUGCCUCAGGAGGCACCUCUAGCAGCCAUCUGAGGAGUGGCCAGUGGAGGUAUCCAUAAGCUUAAUGUUAACACUGCAUUUUCUCUGAAAAGACAGUAUUUACUGCAAAAAGCCUGUGGGGAAUUAUUAUACUCACCAGAACAAAUAUUAUAACCUGUAGUUGUUCUAGUAAAUAUAGUGUUCCUUUACAACUUUCAACAAGGGAUAUGUCUUAGAAUAUAGAGGUAUCUUUGGACGAUUGGCAAAUGACCUAAACAGUUUGGUUUUCUGUCAUUUAGUUAGAAAAAGAAAACAAAAUUGCCAUAUCCCGAAUGACUGAAUGGCUCACUGACAGCAUGUUAAUCGGUCAUUCAGUUCAUUUGGUAAUCAUGCGUGCAAGACUGCAGCCAGGUAUAGUGCAGCAACUAUGUUUUGUUACCACUUUCUGACCAAUCCUGUGACCACAGCAAGUGAUGAUAUUGAUUAUUUUACCAGCCAGUGUCAAGUUCCUGCAAAUUCUUUAGCUUUCAUUAGUUUAGUUUAUUACAAGGAGGGCGCUACUGGCUUGCAGCUCCCUCCUUGUAAUAUAUAAAAAUAGAAGCUGUGGGGCGCUGUGUCCCUGCCACUUCCUAACCCCCCCAUAUCUCCUAUCACUCGAUAUGGGUCAGGCUGUCUGACAGUAGGGAAGCGCACUGCGCUCCCCUACAGCCGGUUAUUACUUGUAGCGUGGCUGAGUGCAGCCCAGAGCUUUCCGCCUGCGGAGCCCAGCCUCUUCCCGCCCGCCCAGCCUACCCUGGUUUCUGCCGCAGGCUGUGUGGAGGGGGCGGGGAUACGAAUGACAUCAUAUCCCUGCUCCCUGUGUACAAAACAGCGCGCCUGGUGCCCAGUGAUGAGGCUGGGCUGUAAGACAGGACUCCACAGAGCCGGACAGCUCCCCAGGGACCAGAUUGAACUGAUGUAAGUAUGUAAUUGUGAAUGUCUCUGUAUGUAUGUCUCUGUAUGUAUGUGUGACUGACACGUCCGCCGACGGAUGCUCCUAGCGCCUCUCAAGGACCAUCAGUACCGCACCAGACACCAUAAGUACCGCAGACUCCAUGAACCGCCAUAGCUUGGUUGGGAUCUCGCCGUCUCCUUCUCACCCUGGGGCUCCAACCUCUGGAUCCAGGAGCGAAGGAUCUCUCCUCCAAGAGAGUAUAGCUGGGUCUGUCCUCCAAUCUAUACCAACAGCUAUACCAGCUAUAUCACUGCUAGCUCUCUUCAGCUAUACAGCUAUACUCUCCUGCAGGAGAGCCCCAGCUAUACUCUCUUGGAGGAGAGCCCCAGCUUAAUAAUAUGAAUUAAAUUUGCGACAAAAAAAUGAAUUAAAAUUGCCGUUGCCACAUGUUCAUAUGCCGAAUGGCGGCCACUUCGACUAGUUCGGCACUUCGGCUGUAUCCGAAGUGCCAGUUCAAAAGUGCAGAUCCUUUCCCAUAGGAUUUAAAGGGCCAGACACAGUAUUUUAGAAUCCAAUCUGCACAAAUGGAGUUUUUAAAAGGCAGUACACCCCAGGGGCCAUAGUCACAAGGCAAAAGGCUAGCCAUCAGUCCUCUCCUGUAUGUAUGUAUAUAUUUAUGUCUCUAUAGGCAUGUAUGUAUGUCUCUGUAUGUAUGUAAUGAUGUCUCUGUAUGAAUGUAUGUCUCUGUAUGCAUGCAUGUAUGUAUGUCUCUGUAUACAUAUAUGUAUGUCUCUGUAUGAAUGUAUGUAUGUAUGUCUCUGUAUGCCUCUGUAUGUAUGACGGUAUGCCUCUGUAUGCCUUUAUGUCUCUGAAUGUAUGUUUCUGUAUGCCUGUAUGUCUCUGUAUGCCUGUAGGUGUCUGUAUGACGGUAUGCCUCUGUAUGCAUGUAUGUCUCUGUCUGAAUGUAUGUAUGUGUGUAUGUCUCUGUAUGCAUGUAUGUCUCUGUAUCCAUUUACUUAUGUACAUAUGCAUGUAUGUCUCUGGUAUGCAUGUAUGUAUGUCUCUGUAUGUAUGUGUGUAUGUGUAUGUAUGUAAGUAUGUCUCUGUAUGCAUGUAUGUCUCUGUAUGUAUGUAUGUAUGUCUCUGUAUGAAUGUAUGUAUGUCUCUGUAUGCAUGUAUGUCUCUGUUUGUAUGUAUGUCUCUGUAUGUAUGUCUCUGUAUGACUGUAUGUCUCUGUAUGUAUGUCUCUGUAUGAAUGUAUGGAUGUCUCUGUAUGCAUGUAUGUCUCUGUAUGCAUGUAUGUAUGUAUGUAUGCAUGUCUCUGAAUGUAUGUAUGUAUGUCUCUGUAUGAAUGAAUGUAUGUAUGUAUGUAUGUAUGUCUCUGUAUGUAUGCAUGUGUCUGCAUGACGGUAUGUCUCUUUAUGCCUUUAUAUCUCUGGAUGUAUGUUUCUGUAUGUCUUUAUGUCUCUGGAUGCCUGUAUGUGUCUGUAUGACAGUAUGCCUCUUUAUGCCUGCAUGUCUCUGUAUGUGUGUAUGUCUCUGUAUGUGUGUAUGUCUCUGUCUGUUUGACUCUGUGUGACUGUGUCUGUAUGUCUCUGACUGUGUCUCUGACUGUAUGUCUCUGUGUCUGUAUGUCUUUGUUUUGUUAUGUCUGUGUUUGAAUGACAGUGUACCUGUAUUACUUUGAUUGUGUGUCUUUUAUGACUGUGUGCCUGAAAAUGAUGCCUGUGUGCCUGUGGCUUGGAAGGAAAGACACACAAACAGGGACUUAUGAGAGACAAGAAAGGGGCUGGGGUAAGAAAGAGACCCAAAAGAGGGCUGGAGGGAAGAGACACACAAAGGGGCUGGGGGAAAGUAAGAUACAUACAAAGGGGAUUGAAAGACACACUAAAGGGGGAAUGAAAUACAAUAGAGCACAAAAGGGGUAAGAAAUUCAAAGGGGUGUGGGGUUACAACAAGACACACAGGUGAAGAUGCAUUUUUUUUUGUAGGGGUGGUGGGGGCAGCAAAAUGCAUCUUCACUUGUGUAGCUAAAAAUCCUUGCACCAGAAUCUUGAAAUGCCACACCUGUGAGGUGGAUGGAUUAUCUCGGCAAAGGAGAAGUGCUUACUAACAAAGAUUUAAACAGGAGAAGAAGCAGAGGCAGAGAAAGAUACACUAAAAGAGUGCUGGGAGAGGUGGGAGGAGCACGAGGAGAGAGCAAUAUCUUGUAGACCGAUAUUGUGGAGGAUGAGAAAAGGCUGUUGAUGAUCAACAGUGUCAAAAACCGCAGAAAGGUCAAGGAGAAUUAGGAUAGAGUAGUGACCAUGAGAUUUUGCAGCAAGUAGAUCAUUGGAUACUUUGGUACCAGCUGUUUCAACACAGUGCCAAGCGAGGAAUCCAGACUGAAGUGGGUCUUUCAAAGAGUUGGACUCAAAGAAGUCUAAAUCUCGCAUAUACAGCUCUUUCAAGGAUCUUGGACGCAAAAUUCAGUAGCGAAAUAGGACGGUAGUUGGAAAGGGAGUUAAGGUCAAGGUUGGGCUUCUUUAGAAUUGGGGUUGCAGUUGCAUGUCUGAAGGGUGAUGGAAAUAUGCCAGAGAAGAGAGAUUGAAAAUUUUAGUGAGAGGUAGAGAUAGAGAAGGAGACAGAGUACAGAUGAGAUGCAAGGGAAUUGGAUCUAGGGAGCAGGUGGUGGGGCGGGAAGACUGGAGCAAAGCAGUCAUUUGGGUUCGCGGGAGAGUGUGGUUAUGAGGGUAUUGAAGUAAUUUACUUUUGCAGAGGAAAGAGCCAAGCUGUAUGAGCGCAGCAUAAAUUUAAAGUGGAGAAAGUUAGACGCACAGUGAGACUUUCUCCAACAGCGUUCAGCAGUUCUGGAGCAUUUUGGCAGGUAUCAAGUUGUUGGGGACGCUUGCUGCAUUUAAAUGUAGGAGGUGCCAUGAUGUGUAGUUGAGAAAAGAGGGUGGAAUUGUAGAAGGAGGCAGCAGACCUAGGAUAGGUGAGGUUUGAGAUCGGUAAAAGGAGAGUUUGAAGAUUAAUGGAGAAAUGCUCUAAAUCAAGACAUUGGAGGUCUCUGUGAGAUUGAUGUUCAGACGGUGAAUGAAUUAAUAAUGAAUUAAUAAUAUAUGAUUUGGAUCCUGCUUGAGGUUUAAAAGUUUAAAUUUUUUAUAUAUUUUUUUUAAAUUUUUACAUCCCUUGCAUUCACUACAAUGGUUGAAUCCAUUAUUUUUAUUCAUAUGUGUGCUUAGAAAAUGUGUAUUUUGUACAUUUACAUAACUAGAGGUAAGUCUUAAAUUUCAAACUCCCCUAAAUAUUACUUUAGGGUUUGUUUUUCCAAAAAAGCUCUUAUUUAAAAUACUUUUUAAUUGUUUUUGAUCUUUACUGUAAUUAAAGAUUAAUGGUAUUUUUCCUUUUUCUUCUCUUGAGGUUUUUUGUUUAUAGUAGAGGGUGACGAACCAAACCUCGUCACCUCGUUCUUGGAGGAGCCUGUUUGCCAGCAUCUUACCCUGUGAUAUGGCCCCUGCAAUAGACAGGGGUGUUAUAAUAGAAACAUAAAAGGAAUCAACACAGUAAAGGAGGAGACUAUAAUUAAAAGUACCACAACAAGAGGACAUAGUCUUAAAUUAGAGGGGCAAAGGUUUAAAAAUCAUAUCAGGAAGUAUUACUUUACUGAGAGGGUAGUGGAUGCAUGGAAUAGGCUUCCAGCUGAAGUGGCAAAGGUUAACACAGUAAAGGAGUUUAAGCAUGCAGGGGAUAGGCAUAAUGCUAUCCUAACUAUAAGAUAGUGCCAGGGGCUAAUAAAAUAGUAUUUAGAAAAUUGGGCAGACUAGAUGGGCCGAAUGGUUCUUAUCUGCCGUCACAUUCUGUGUUUCUAUGUUUCUAUGACCUUGCUAAAAUACUUUAAACAGGCUCUGUUCAUGCAAUUGGGGCUAUAUGGUUUGUUUACCAAACAACCGCACAAACCAGAGACCACCUUGGAGCUUUUUAACAUCUAUUAACAACUUGGAACGUUUCGCAACACAGUGUUCUAAUUGUUCGCCUGGGUGGCCGCAAUUCCCGAACACCGCUGGACUUCCAUCAUUGCCUGCGUUUGGUUACAUAUAAGUUAGAAGAGCACUGUUCAGUGGGAUUAUUUGUCUGGAUGAGGGGAACAAGCUUCAGGGUAAGACUAUUGACUCUGUUCAGUAGUUUGUUCGUUUUCAAACUAUUGAACUAGACCGACCGCAAAUCCUGAUUCUCUAGAAUUGUUUUGGGAAUGGGACCAUGCCUGCAGUCGGUCAAAUAAAUGACUUCCAUAUAAUUCUUGAACCCCUGAACUGAUCUGAGUGAUUUUUGGAUAUGUUGGUUACCCAGAUCAGGGCUAUCAGGGGAUAUAACAUUUGUGGGGUUUUAUGUAUUUUUGGGGUAUGUUUUUUCUUUGCUUGGAGAUAAUUGGAUUAGAAUAUUACAGUUACUGAUUCAAUUAUCUCCCAGGCAGAAGGGAGGGCUUGUGUGCUGUGUGUGGUAGUGUUGGGCCUUGUAACCUUAUUGUUGUUGGUCUGUGAAGUUUCAAAUCAGUUCCCCACAAGGUCUCUGUGGGCAUACCUCUUGCAUGGGGAUUGUUAUAUAAGGCUAAGUGUGGCUCCCAUUAAACUGAGAUUCGUUUACCCCUUCAUGAAGUCUUGGCUCAUGUUUGGGGGAUUGUAGAACUGCAUUCACUCUGGGGAUUGCUAUUUCACAAUAUUCCCCUGAGUAUAAUCAUUAGCUCUUAUAAGAGCUGUUCCUGUUACGCUCUCUGGACAAGGAGAAGUCUACCAACUGGAAGCUGGAUCCUGGUCUUGGGUCCAGGGUGGGUGGAAUGCAAGAUCCCCAACCAAGCUGCGGUGGAUUGUGGGAGUCUACAUAGUUAUUGUGUUCCAGUACAUUGCUUAUGGUGCUUGCAAGUACAAGGAAGCAGCAACUGAAAAUUCUCAAUUUUUUUUUUAUUUCCUCAUCAAGAUAUCCAGAUAUCCAGAGUCUUUUAGGCAUGUCUGCUUAGUUAUUAAAUAAAUUAAGAUCUGCACAAUUUCGUCUCAACCUAAGAAACUGUCUCCUAGGAAUAUUCUCCAGCCAUGGUCAAAAAUGGCAACUCUCUUUGUGGGUGCAACUAUUCACAUAUACCUUUUUUUUUUAAUGUUCUAAUUUGAUUGUCUUCCACAUAAAUUUCUAAAUCUUUACUCACUUCUUGAGUCAAGUGGAUAUUUCAUUGAAUAUUAUUUAAAAAAUUUAAAAUAUAUAUUUUGUACAGGACCAGGUUCACACUCCAGUCAUGCUUGGAAUAAACAUUGUCUUUUCCCAAUGUGCCAUAAAUAAAUUGGCAUAACUGGGUGCGAACUUGGUCCCCAUUGUUGUACCUCUACACUGUAAAAAAUAAUCACCUUCGAACCAAAAAAAAAUAGUUUUUAAAGAAUAAAAAGAAUACCUUCCAUAAUAAAAUCAAUUUGGUCAGCAGGAUAUAAGGUAGACCUUUCUAGAAAAAAAUGUGCAGCCUUACAUCCCAAAAGAUGAUCUACAUGUGUAGAGGCUCGUAACAUGUAUAAAGGAAUAGGAUAAAAGGAGGAUUGUUUUUUAAGAUCAGUAUCCCCUUAAGGACACAGCUUCAGAAGCUUGACUUACGCUUAAUGACACAAGCAAUUUUUGCAUUUUCUUGCUGUUUGCGUUCAACUGCAAUUUGCAUCUCUCUCAUUUAUUGCACCGACACAUAUUAUAUACUGUUUUUAAAAGGACAGAAAGGGCUUUAAUUUGAUAUAACAUAUAUAUAUAUAAAUGCUUACUUAUUAUAAAAAAAUACAGAAAAAUGCAAAAAAAAUGAAAAAUAUUGUUUUUUUUUACAGUUUUUGCAAUAAUAAUGUGUGCAUAAUUAGUGCAGGUUAAGGAAAGUAAUUAAAAAUAAAUUUAUUUAUUUGUUCUGAUUUACAGAAUAUAUAAUGUGUCUGGGAUUUUAAGUUUUUUUUGGUAGUUACAGGUCACAAAGCACAAGGAGUAAAAUAAACUUUUAAUGUGGAGCGAUUUUAGAAUUUGGUAUGUUUGUCUUGUAAGCUUAAUAGCCAUAAAUGAAAACAAAAUUGCCACACAAAAGUAUAUAUUUAUAUAAAGUAGACAUCACGGGCUAUUUACCUAAGGUUGUUUUGACACUUUCUACGUAGCCAUUUCACCGCCAACCUCUGCUAAAUAUUGGAGUCAAAUUGUGUUCUUUUUGGUUUUUGGCACACAAACUUAUAACAGAGAAAUUCUCGUGUAUAUUUUGUAAAGUUGGUGUGUGCUAUUCCUGUACAAAGUUUUAUUUUGUGUUCAGUUACAUCUGCUGAGUAAAAUGACACCCCCAUUGUAUGUCUUUUGCACUAUUUCGUGAAGUUACAGUGCCAUACAGGAUACCUGUCCUUUUCAGUAUUCACAGUAGAAUUUUGAGAGAUGGAUUUAAUGAGCCUUAGCUUCCAUUUUGGGGUAUUAUAACAGUUUGGCUGUUCAAAAAAACCCCACAAAGGCCUACCAUUUGUAAAAGUAGACACUCCAGGGUAUCUCAUAAGGUGCAUAUUGUGCCUUAACAUGCCCCCAUUUUUUCACCAAUAUAUGCCAAAGUAUGUGGUAAAAAAUAAUUUUGUGCAUUUUUUACAUACGGAUUGCAUUUUUGCUGGGCGUUUUGUAUAUUUCAUAUGUGCCACUAAGUUCAAACCCCCCAAAUUAUGCUCAGCUAAGUCUUCUGAGUAAAAUGACACCCCAUAUGAAUGUCUUUGGCACUAUUUCGUGAAGCUACAGUGCCAUAUAGGAGACCAAGCCAUAUCCGUUUUUACCAAACUUUGAAUUUUGACGCUGGGCCUAUGUGCAAUUUCCAAGCAUCUUCGCAGGUUUUAAAUUCAAACUACCCCACAAAGGCCUACCAUUUCUUAAAUUAGACACCCCAGGGUGUUUCAAAAGGUAUAGUUUGAACCUUAGCGUGGGAUCAUUUUUCCGCUAGCUUGUACCAGAUGUAGUGGUAAUAAGCGUUUUUUCUGCCUUUUUGACAUACAAAGUGAGUUUGCACAGUAUAUUUUGCAAACCUUAUGUGUGCUACGACUGUAUAAUACUUCAUAUGUUGCUCAGCUAUGUCGGCUGAGUACAGCAAUACCCCCGUAUGUACCUUUGCCAGGUAUGUGUGGACAUCGGAGGGGCACAUUUGGGACACAGCCAUUCCAGUUUUUUUCAAACUUUGAAUUUUUAUGCUGUGCCUAUGUCCCAUUUUAGAGUAUUUUACCAGGCUAUAUAAUCCAAAUUCCCCAUAAAGCCAUACCAUUUCUUAAAGAAGACAUCCCAGUGUAUUUCAAAAGGCAUAUUUUGAACCUUAGCGUGGGAUCAUUUUUCCGCUAGCUUGUACCAAGUGUAGUGGUAAUAAGCAUUUUUUCUGCCUUUUUGACAUACAAAGUGAGUUUGCGCAGCAUAUUUUGCAAACCUUAUGUGUGCUAUGACUGUAUAAUACUUCAUAUGUUGCUCAGCUAUGUCGGCUGAGUACAGCAAUACCCCCGUAUGUACCUUUGCCAGGUAUAUGUGGAUGUUGAAGGGGCGCAUUUGAGACGCAGCCAUUCAGUUUUUUUCUAACUUUGAAGUUUUACGCUGUGUCCAUGUUCCAAUUUGGAGUAGUUUAGACGGUUGGUUAUUGAAACUUCCCCACAAACACAUACUAUUUAUUAAAGAAUACACCCUGGGGUAAUUCAAAAGGCAUAUUUUGAACCUUGGCGUGGGAUAAUUUUUUCUCUAGUUUGUUCCAGGUGUAGUGGUAAUGAGCGUUUUUAAAAUGUAUUUUUUUACUUUUUAUAACUUUUUUACUUUUAAAAACUAGUUUUUAAACUUUUGUUUUGCUUAUAAAUUUUUUUUAAACUUUCCUAAACUUUCUUAAAACUUUUUUACAGAUUUAACAUUUUUCUAAGAUUUUUUUUUUUACCGUUAACCCCUAACUAGCAGUACGCAGCAGUAACAGUAAAUUCCCCAUUAUCCCAUAACUCCCACCCACCCCAGCUAGCAAAAUAUAUAGUUAUAAAAUAUUUAAAUUAAUUAAUUAAAUAAAUUGAACCCCUGAGGGUUAAAAAAAUAAAUAAAAGUUAAUCCUCAGGGGUUAAAAAAAAUUAGAUCACAGUAUAAUACUGUGAUCUCUAUUUGAUCGCUGUAGGCAGUGAUCGACUGGCAGGGAAGGGGUUAAUUUUUAUUUGGACUAGGUAAAGUGUGUUUUUUUUGUUUUUUUUACUUAAAUGUUAUUAAAACAUUUUUUUAAGCUUAAUUUUUAACUUUUUAAAGUUUCUUUUAAAACUUUUUUUAACGUUAACCCCUAGUUAGCCUAACGUCAAAUCCCCCAAUUCCCCACUAACUUCCACCCACCCCAGCUAUCUAAAUAUAUAAGUAAAAAAUAAUUUAAUUAAUUAAUUUAAUUAAUUUAACCCCUGAGGGUUAAAAAAAAAAAGAAUUAACCCUCAGGGGUUAAAAAAAAAAAUCAGAUCAUAGUAAAAUGUAAUCCCUGCCAAUUGAUCACUGUAGUCAGUGAUCAAUUGGCAGGGAAGGGGUUAAUUUUUUAUUAAAAUGGGUAAGGGGGGGGGACUUUAAAUAAACUUUAUUUUUUUUUACAGCAGGGGGCAGGAUCAGCACUAAUCCGGCUCCCUGCACUUCACACAGAACCCGGAAGUGCAGGGAGCCGGUAGGUGAGUAUAGAGAGCACAUGUGCUCGCUCAGACUUGCGGUCAGAGCGAGCACAUGUGCUGGGCAGCCUGACCGGGUGCUCCCGGUAUGCCUCUAAUGCAGAGGCAUACCGGGAGCACCAUUAACCCCGCGAUCGCCGCGAUAGCGGCGAUCCGGGGUUAAUUUUACCGCGUGACGGACGAGGUCCGUCACCCGUCGUUAAGGGUCUCCCCUGUGUGACGGACCUCGUCCGUCACCCGUCCUGAAGGGGGUAUGGAUAAAACCACUAUUGACUUCAUUAUCACUCUCUCUUAAUUACUUGUAACUGUGUUUUUUUCUAUAAAAAAAAACUUCUUUAAAUAUAAUCUUCUCAUAAAUCUAUUUAUAUCUGUAUAUACUUCAAAUUUAUUCACUGUGCAGCUAGGAGCAAAUUUAAAACCUUUAUUUAAAAUACGAAUAUGUGCAGAAUGUAAAAUUGUUUUGGAUAAGUUCUUACCUACUCAUUAUAUUUCCUCUUUGGUCUCUCCAAUCUUUUUUCCACCCUAUUUCCCCUACUUCUAUAUCUCGGUAUCUCCUUUUUGUUUGAAUCAGGGUUCUCAUAGGUGGUUCUUUCCACCCUCUCCUAAAAAAAUGAGUCUCCGAGUUCUCCUCCAUAUUUUUUAUGGGUUCAAAGUGAUUAAAAGUGGGGAUUUCUUUCCUCUGGAGGGUUGGAGAUCUUUCUCGAUUUGGUAUAUAAUAGAGCACUUUGUAAGUCCUUUAUUAUUAUUAGUAAUAGUAUUAGUAUUUAUAUAGCGCCAUCAAAUUCCACAGCGCUUUACAAUGGGUGGACUAACAAACAUGUAAUUGUAACCAGACAAGUUUGACGCACAGAUACAGAGGGGUUGAGGUCCCUGCUCAAUGAGCUUACAUGCUGCAGGGAGUGGGGUAAAGUGACACAAUUUGUUUAUCUCUCCUAUUCCUAUUCCUAUUUCUAUUAUCUCUCCUUAAUUCAGUCCACUCUUGGGUCUGAUUUUCCACUCUAGGUGGUCCACCUAUCAAUUUGGUAAUUUUUGGUUUCAUAUUUUGGUUUUUAGAAUUAUGUUGAGUCUAGUUAGUUUUUUCAAAUUUUCUUCUUUUUUAAAACUAUUUAUUUAGUGUCUUUUGAGUGAUUUUAGAUACUGUGGGUAGUUGCAUCCACAUUUGUUCUUUAGUGCCAAUCCAUCCAUAUUUUAUCCUUUAUUGGAUUAAAUACUAUAUAUCUUCAGGAAGAGGUAUAGGAUUCACUCCUUUUUGUAUUGUGAAUUCUACUAUUUGUAUUGAUACCCCUUUCCCCUCACUAUGGAUGCUGUAACCUCCUAUAACUAUCCCUAUUCCAUUCUCUAUAAUUAGCAUCAUCCUUAUUGUGGCAAUACUCUCGUGAUAUCCCCAUUUUAGGUUAUCUUUAUUAAUUGUUUAGUGAAUUUUUCCCUUUCUAAUCUUAUUGAGAGCAGACCCCACCCUGGGAUAGGACUAGAUAAUUGUACCUAUUUCCCUUCAUUCUAUCGUUGCUGCAUUCACUCUUAGGACUGUAAAGUUUUCCUUAUAAAUACCAAUCUAGGGAUCUCCUUUUGGGAUCUAUUGAAAUCUAAUCAUUGUAGAUUUUCUUUUUUUGCUCCCCCUGUUUCUUCCUUCGAUUGUUACUAUUUCUCACUUAUAUAGUAACACCCAGACCUAAAGCACUUGCUGAAAAGCUGUAUGUGUGAAGAGUGUCCAUUUUUUCAUUUUGGCAAAAGCACAGAUUUCAAUAGAAAUUAAAACUUUCUUAAAUUAUACUGGUUACACCCUCUUGGAUUUUCAAGCAGACAGACGCUCCUGUUACGUCCUAUCUUAGCUGCACUAAAAAGAGGCAGCAAUUGCCUAGUUGCUCUGGUGCGUUGCAAGCAUUUCUCAUUGAGCUACAUUGGGAAGUCUGUGAUUGAACAGUCACAAAAGGUCUGGGCAGGGUUAGAAGAGUAAGGUUUGGAAAGGCAGUUUUUGCAAGCUGUUUUUAGAUAUAACUCAAAUGAAAAUGUUCCUAUCAACGUAAAAUAUAUACUUAAUUUUUUAUUACGUGUAUGUUUCGCAGUAAUAGUUGUAAUGGUUCAGCCAAGACAAAUUUUCUCACAAGUCUAAUGAUAACCAGAGUAAACAUUAGAGUGAGUAAGGCUCGAUGGGCUAAAUUUCAUCUGCAAAAUAUAUGAAAAUUAAAUAUUCGAUUUAGGUAGGAAAAUUAUUGAAUUGUUCAUGGUCACAAUCAUAUAAUUUUAAAAAUAAACAUUGCAUACCUAGAUCAAUAUAGGAAUGAAUUUUUCUAUAGUGUGUUGAGCUGCCUACAAAUGUUCAGGCUCAUAUAAAUAAUGUAUUUUGGUCAACUGUGAGUCAGCUAAGCUAUUGAUAACCCCUCCCAACCACCUGUCCUCUAUUUUAUUCUUUUCAUAAUUAGAGCUAAUGCUACUCAUUUUAAUGAUGACAUUUACCUUCCCAAUCAAUUCUGACAGAUUUCCUCCCAUCCUGCUGGCGAGAGCUGCCAGAUUCUUUCCCAUACAGCCUCCUAAUGCUGCCAGAUCUAAUAACCCUGCAGGUCUUGAAAAAUACUUAGUAUACAAGAAAAUUAUUUAUAAGCCUGAUUAAAGGUAAUAAAUAACUUUUUUUCUCUGACAUAUACUUUAAUUGGGGAUUUUCUGAUCAGUGAGGUGUGGAAUUUUUCCAAUCCCGUUCUCUAUAUUGAUUUGAAGAUAUUCUAAUAUCCUGAUCUUUUGAAUCUAUCUUUUGAAUCUAUGCUAACAAUCCCACACUCUCAUCUCCUAAACCUUACCCCCUCGAAUACCUCCGCUGGAGAUUUAUUUAUACGGCACCAACAUUUUUAGUUGGUCUUUCAAACAUGUUAACUUCUCCUCUUGCUAACUUUGUUUACCACGGUAGAUAACAAGAUAGCUGAGGAAGGUAAACUAUUUAUAUAUACAGUUUUUAUUGACUAAUACUACUACAUUUGUAUCUACCUAAAGAGACCAACUGGAAUAGCUCUAUGUGGCGGGUAACAUAGUUCCUGCUUUUUAUUAUUAAUUUUUAACUUUUUCAUAAUGACGUUUUUUCAUAUAUAAGAAGGCAGAUUCUGUAAUUGUGGGAGGGGUUACCUGGCUAUAUAAGCUCAGGCCCUCUACAUAUCAGAACCUUCACCGCUGGGUUCAUUCAGAACCUCUGACUUCCAGUACCGAUCCACUCACAUCAACCUCGCUCCACACUGGUCCAGUUACCCGACUUACCUUACUCCGACUAUGCCCGACCGCCAGUUCUGCCAGCUCCGGUAACCCGACAACAGAUCCGAACUGCUGAACUCUCACCUCCCCACAACUUCCGGGGUACAGGUCUGGGUCCCAUUCGUUUACACAAACUGUGAGUUCGCCUGAAAGGGUACCCAUUCACACGGCAUUCAUGCCAAACACUUAGCAUUCACCCAUACAUAUGAAAUUGUCAUUUUGGGGCCACUCACACUACGCAUGUGUACUCACAGUUCUGGUGCUAACCUUCGGUCAUUCAUCAUACGAACAAGUCGUUCCAAACAAACAAUCUCUAUACACGCAUGUAACAGCACCCCAAGGCAUAAAAGGGUUAAACCGCUGUUUAGUAGAAUUUCCCCUUCCAGAGACACAGGCACAGCUACUGUAGACACCAAUCCACCGAACCGGAGAAGCAUAUGAAUGCUGUAAACAGCCGAACUGGAACCAUAUGAAUGCUGUAAACAGCCGAAUAGGAAAAACCAUACGAAAGGUUUACACUUCUAGCAGUCGAACUGGAACAGCAUACAAUAAAUCCACCCCAAGAACGAGACAAAGCUCCGUGCUGAUGGUCAAGCAGUGAACAGACAGAGCUGUGGGUUUAUUGUUCUUAUAUACACAUUCUUACACAUUAGUACCACCCACAGGGUUUUGGAAAACAACCAAUAAACACGUACAAUACACUCAGACACUCCCACACAAAAUCCUCCCCUCUGUCUGUGAUACAAUUACCUUACACAAUGGGUAAUGUAAUUAUCACAGGCAGAGAAAUACAGUUUUUCCACAUUAUUCAAAAUUGUAAUAGUAUCCAUCACAUUCACGUAUCACAUUUUCAGAAUCAGCAUACUCCAAAUACAAACAUACAUCAAAAUCAUACAAAUUGGUCCAGUGGUUCAAAAGAUAGAUCGUAGUCUUUUGUGACCAAAUGAAGCAUGGCUUUUCUGCCCAAAACCAGUUCCACGGAGUCUUCUAUCAUGGAGAUAAUUGGGAAGUAAUCCAAUUAUCUCCAAGGACAGAGGCAAAACUCCAUUGAACACAUGGCAGCAAAAGACAAUAAAAUACAUAAAAAUAUAAAACUGUGCAGCCAUUGCAUAAAACAGGCCCAUUCAACAUAUACCCAGAUAGCCCAGAUCUGAGCGCACAUUAUUACUGAAUGGCGCUCAGAUCACACACAUACAGUUCAAUUGCCAUGGAGCCAAAGUCUUUCCCAUAGUCUUUCAUUAUACAAAUGGGCUCCAUUUCAUAGCUAUCUGGGGUAUCACCGCUCAAACAGGGCAAGCACCCAAUGACCCGGCUUUCGUGUGUUUGCAGGGGAAAAUCAAGCGUUUCAACAUGGGGCCAUAGUCUAAAGGGAGCAGGCGGGCAACCAGGCUCCUCCAAUGCAAUGUGGCGAGAUUGCUCUCGUCACAACGCGGUAGCUCAACUACGACCUCUAGCGGCCAAAGUACAUAACAAAUUCUCUUGUUCUCAUUAAAAUGUAUGUCACUCAUGUUAUGUUUGCAAUCUGGUCUCCGUUAGCAUCACAAUACAGUAGAAGUAAUGUCUGACAAAUAGAGUAAUUGCACCCUGAUUGGACUAAAAAUUAUCCAUCUGCUCUGUUACAUUAUACAAUAUGAAGUUUACAUCUCGUACUUUUGGCAGUUCCUAAACUCUCUAAUUGUCUGUUCCACACGCUAGGUAUUUACCAAAACCGUAUUACUCCUCGCGGUCGCAUUUGACUGCCUUAGUUCACCAAUAUACCCAUUAAAGACGUAUUUCUGUUUAACUUCAUACGGUACGUAUAUUCAUGUGCAAUUAUUAUAAUUUUUUAUGCAUACCCCAUGUCUUAUCUGUCCUAUAAUAUUCCCUACAUACGGUUUUUCAUUUCCAGAUCAACACAUGGUCACUACUGGUCACCAACAUCCAUUUCGUUGGCCACACUCCUAAGUAAAUCGCAAGCUCCCUUACCCUAAUUUUUAGAAAUUUCAAAGUAAACCGCUAAACAACUCUAGCACACUCAAGCUUAUCCCUCACCGUAAUGUCCAAUUCCCUCCUUUGUAUUUACUUGGAACGCAUGAGAGUGACCACAUGUUCCCUCAUGUUCUCAUCCAUACUCUAUUUUCAGGCCUUUGUUACCAUCACUACUCUCCCCCAGAACUUUGGGGAAUAAUUGGCUUCUUACUCCCAGCACGUUACAGGUAUACAGAAUAUCACCUCAUCUCUUGUCUUUAUACCUUAACAUAUUGUGUAGAGGAUAACUCUGUUUUUUUCCUCAGAUAACCACUACUAGCAAUUCCCGACAGUACCACUGUCAUCAUUUCCACAGGUGAGUUUUACUCACAAUAUAUAUAUAAAAAAGUUGUAGGCCUAACCCACAUUUUCUUUUCAGGUUCUCAAGUAUUUAUCAUUCUCCAUAGAGAACCCUAACGAUUUCAUAAGCUAGGUACAUCUCCAUUUUACAUCCUACUCCCAGUACCCCAACAGAACAGGAUUGGUCAUCAUAGAAACACAGAAUGUGAAGGCAGAUAAGAACCAUUCGGCCAAUUUUUUUUAAAUACUUUCAUUAGUCCCUGACCUUAUCUUAUAGUUAGGACAGCCUUAUGCAUAUCCCAUGCAUGCUUAAACUCCUUUACUAUGUUGAAGGGACAAUAUAGUCACCAGAAAAACUACAGCUUAUUGAAUUUGUUCUGGUGAGUAGAAUCAUUACCUUCAGAGAAAAUGCAGUGUUUACAUAACAGCCUAGUGAUAACUUCACUGGCCACUCCUCAGAUGGCUGUUAGAGAUCCUUCCUUGGUCAUGGCUGCCUAAAAUCCAUCCAAACAUUCAGUAUCUUCUCCUUCUGAUGCAGACACUGAACUUUCCUCAUAGAGAUUCAUUGAUUCAAUUCAUCUCUAUGAGAUGCUGAUUGGCCAGGGAUGUGUUUGAAUUGUGCUGGCUUUACUCCUGAUCUGCCUCUCUGUCAGUCUCAGCCAAUCCUAUGGGGAAGCAUUGUGAUUGGAUCAGGCCACCACUUCUGCUGAUGUCAGAGGUCAGAGGCAGGUCAAAAGGAAACAGUGACAAGCUAUGCAGCUGCAGAUUAGAAUUCAAGUAAGAUAUUACUAUAUUUGGAGGGUCCAGGGGGGCUAGAUGGUGGUUUUAACCCUAUAGGGUCAAGAAUACAUGUUUGUGUUCCUGACCCUAUAGUGAUCCUUUAACCACGGUACUUCAGCUGGAAGCCUAUUCCAUGCAUCCACUACCCUCUCAGUAAAGUAAUACUUCCAGAUAUUAUUUUUAAAACCUUUGUGCCUCUAAUUUAAGACUAUGUCCUCUUGUUGUGGUAGUUUUUCUUCUUUUAAAUAUAGUCUCCUCCUUUACUGUGUUGAUUCCCUUUAUGUAUUUAAAUGUUUCUAUCAUAUUCCCCCUUUCAAAUGGCUGUUAUUAAUAGCAUUCGUCCCUAGCUUACUGUAAUUAAUCUACUCCUGUGAGGCCAACACCCAUCCUCAUCAGAGGUAUACGCCCCUCGGUCCAAUGCAUAGCUAGAGACUCACAUUAACCACUGUUGGUUACUAGGUAGGACUUCACCAAGCCACACCCAAGGAUAUUAUGUCUUGUUACAGUCACCGAGGUCAACAUUCCCACUACAUCAUUCAGUGGUCCCCGCCCACUUGGCCCUUCUCAUAGAUAGAGCCUCUCUCGCCACUUAGCACUAGCAGGGCUCCUUCUUCCUUGUAGGUCCUUGUAGGUCAGAUAAUGUUUUGACUUAGGCUUAGCUAGAGCCAGUUGACACAGGCAUUAUCCUUACCCAUGUUUUCAUUCUUAGUAUGUCUCAAAUACCUGAACAAGAUGAGGAACUGGCAACACCUGAAACCCCAACCAGACCUUCCACCCCGGCCGGUCCAAGCACCCCUACUGAGAAUCUGGAACCAUCCAGCCCAUAUUCCCUGCGGUCAUGGACUAUCCCUAAGCUCGAGGAUGAAUUACAUUGCAUGGGGGUCCCUUUCCCAGCUACAGCUCACAAGGCCGAACUAUAUAAAAUAUUUAUUUGCAAUACCUGUACUCCCCAGCCUGGAGUUGUCCUGCAACCCGACAACUAUACAGAGAUCAAGGGUUUAAUGUCAUCUCUACUUGCCUCUAUCAAUACGAUCAGCGUUAGGCUGGACAAACUGGAAUCUCCUCAGACAUCGACAGUUGUCCCACACAUAUUGACCUCCACUAAGGCACCCACCCACGGUAAUGACACCACCACAAACCCAAUACUUCCACUCACAUUAUCACGCCCGCCUACUUCGUACCCCCGACCAUUCAUAAAGACAUCCUGGAAGUCAAGGACAUAAAUCUAGUCUAGUUGCUGAUUGCUUCUCAGGACGUGGUUGAGAACAAGGCAUACUGCUAUGGUGAUCUUUCGGUUGUUUUGAAAGCCAGAGACUCCAGACUCAACUGAAAGCUAACCAUACCCGAAUUUGUCCUUGCUUUUGGCCUUUAUCGUGACGUAAUCUGUUCCACUUCCCCUCACCAUAGGGAGGAGUUGGAGUUGGUUAUCAAAAUGGCAGCUUAUCUAGCCUUCUAUGGAUUCUUAUGACCAAAUGAAUUCACCAAUUCACUACCACCUGCACCUUAAAAUUAUAAACCUUGAAAAAGAUACUGACCAUUAUGUACUUACGUACCAUCAAUCACACUAAAACAAAUCAGCUAGGCCCGCCUACUAUGAGAAGACCACAAGAGAACUUUAGUGUACAUGUGUAUUUCUUUGUAGAUUUUAUUUACAUAUUGUUUUUUACUAUUAUUUACAAUAACCUUAUUUGGCAUAUGCUAAUAGUCCAAUGGAUCCUCUUCUGCUGCUGUUUAAAGAAGAGUGGUAGCCCUCUUAAAGGCACAUAUGCUCUUGCAUCUAUAGCCAUGUUCAAGCUCUUAUUAAGAGACAAAGCCAUUUGCACAUUGCACUUUCCGAUUUAAUUUAUUUGAAUAUACUGCACUAGGCUCUUUAUUGCUUCCAUCUCCCUCCUUUCAUUUUCUCUUCCCUCUACUUGAGGAUAUCUGAGUUAAAAAGAAGAGGGAUUGUGUAACCUAAGUACACGCAAAUGAAUGAGAUUUGAGCCUAUCCUAGCUGGCUCUCCUCCAUGUGAGUGUGUGUAAUUUGGAUUUUAUAACAAGACACGGAGGCUAAUAUUGCAUAUCCCUUUCUUUACUGUCCACCAAUAGCAGCAAAGGAUAUAAACAGAAUGAAAAAAUAAUGAACAUACGGUAACAUAGACCCCUCCCUGAUCACGUCCCAGUAUAAUAGGCAGCACCUCCCUCCUAUCUCCCUCUUUCUUAUCUGCUCCACAGUCAGAUAAGUACACUUUUUAUCUCGGUGGUUAUUGUAUAAACAGAAUGAAAAAAUUAUGAACAUACAGUAACAUAGACCCCUCCCUGAUCAAGUCCCAGUAUAAUAGGCAGCACCUCCCUCCUAUCUCCCUCUUUCUUUGCUGCGCCACAGUCAGAUAAGUACACUUUUUAUCUCGGUGGUUAUUGUUGUAGAUCUUCUAUAUAUUUUUAUGUUUAUAUUUAUAUACUUAUAUAUAUAUAUUUACUAUUACGUAUGUUCCACUAUAUAUGGUAUUGUCUUUACUUGACUGUUCAGGUUCACAGACCAGUAUGAUUGAUAUCCCCUAUACUUUGGAUGUUGUUUCUCCUUUCUCCUUUUUCGCCCCUUCCGGGCUUAAUCUGUUUUUCAUUGUUACUCACCUUUUCUUGGAAAAAGAGAAAAAAACUGCGCUAAAUUGCCACAAUAAAAUUAUUAGGAAAGGCAGCACUUCUCAAAGAUGAGUCCCCAAUAAUCCCCUAAUGGUAACAGAUAGCAAGAACAAACAAAGAUAUAAGGAUGCGCCUAAAACUUGAUAAAAUAAAGGACUAAAUUAGUCAGAUAAAAUACAGAAUAAAAUAAGUAAUAAAACAAUAGUCCAAUAAAAUAGGCUUAUCACAGUCUGUGAGGGUAGGUCCCACUUGUAAAGGAAUAUUCUUUAGGGUGUAGAUGGGAUCGUAUCUUCAAAUGUUGAAAAUUCAGCAUAUGUGGAGAGAAAAAUAAAAACAGGACUCCAAUGGCACAGUAAAUCGGUGUAUAAAAUAAAUAUAAAAGUAUAAAAUCAGUCUUACUCACACUUUUCAGAGCUAGGAUCAGCUCUGUUAUUGCUCGCGUAAAGUGGAAUGAUCCCCACUUCAAGGAUAUAUAGAGUGAAUUUUAAUAGUUGAAUAUCGGACGUGGGUUCAGCGUUCAAUUUGACGUAAUACGACCCAGAGGAAAAAAUGAAAUAAAAUAUAUAGUGCUCACUGUAUGUAAUCCAAAACUAAAAGAAAGUAAAGUAUACUACUCACGUAAAGUAGAGCAGACUCAAAACUGCUCAGUGAAGGCGCUCGGGUGGUAAAAUCCCCACCUAUGGAUUCUUUGCACUUCCUGCAGGGUGAGCCGUAUACGUAAAAUCAAUUAAAAGAAAAUGUAUGUAAAAUCAGGUAAAGGAGAAAGCAAAUGGCAAUAAAGUAUUUUAUGCCAAUAAAAUAUCGUUAUUUUAAAAUUAAGAACAAAAUCUAUUAAUAACUAAACGCGUUUCGCCUUAACAGGCUUCUUCAAGUAGAAGCUACUAUCUACUGUGUCUAUUACAUGACGAAGAGUCAUGAUUUUAUUAAAGACACUGAGGUGAGUAUUGUCCCGCCCGUAUUGCACUUCUCACUUUAUGUUCUUUAUUUUUCCCGCCCAGUUUGUUUUGAUAUGUAGGGGAAAUGUAUGGACUCGUUGGUACAGUAAGUGGGGCCUGUGUAGUAGGGGGAUUUGGUUGAGUAACUAAGGGGAGUUCGGGUCUACCUGGUUUUAAGACUGGGGAGGUAUGUGGGGCUUUGCAUCGCCUGGCCCUGAUGUUAGUCUCAAGUACUGAUUUAACCCUUGGGCUCCUGUUCUUUAUGUUUUCACAGCCUGAUCUGAACCGGUCAAGUUUUUCUGCAUGUGAGGACUGCCCUUGUGGAUGGAGUUUGUUCUGCUGUCGUUCCGAUGUACUUCCCUGUUAUUGAAUCGAUAAUCCUAUGUUUUGGUCCGGAAGUUCUGCGUUUUCUUCUCACUGGACGCUAUUGGUGUUCCUGUUUACGGACUUUAUUUUACGGUGUCGCAUCUUAAAAAAGAGGGAGAUAGGAGGGAGGUGCUGCCUAUUAUACUGGGACUUGAUCAGGGAGGGGCCUAUGUGACUGUAUGUUUAAUAAAAUCAUGACUUUUCGUCAUGUAAUUGCAAAAUCA
rnacentral:lncRNA from 1 species